AUAACAAUACAGGACUCUUUCGAGGCCCUGUAAUUGGAAUGAGUCCACUUUAAAUCCUUCCGCGAGGAUCCAUUGGAGGGCAAGUCUGGUGCCAGCAGCCGCGGUAAUUCCAGCUCCAA
rfam:TPA: Bos taurus chromosome 25, whole genome shotgun sequence.